rnacentral:lncRNA from 1 species
UUUGAACAAAAGAUAGCGGAGUUGAAAAAACAACGUUUAAUCCUAUUAGGUAUAAUAAACCUUUGGACGUCGAUUAAUGCAACUAACGACCCAAUUAAUGGAGAAACGAUUCGGACAGCAUUUUUUACAUCUUUAAAAAUAUUCACUCGGCUCUGGUGACGAUAUGUCAAUGAGGAAGGCUCGGUUGGCGACAGAGUCAUCACUGAGGGCGAAGGUAGGCAAGUAGGUGAUGGCAAAGGAGAUAUAGCAACAAAUGAAGAAGACGCAGCCGUUUCUACCGAAAUGGUUCGUGGUUAAUAGAACCUUUUUAAAAUAUCCACCGUCAGCCAGAACCGUCAGUUGACCCAACUACUGUCCUCUCCUUCCUGUAAAACACGAUAUUUAUAUUUUGCAUUUUCGAUUUGAUUUCUGCCGCUGUGAAAUGUACACCUUGUUGCUGAAACUCCAGGAUGUGACUAUUCUUCCUCGGUCUGCAGGGAGCACAAAUCUUGCGUUACCACAAUUCGAUAAGCAGCACUUCACCCCUCUCACUCUACGAAUUUCUUGUAUUUUUGCUUCUCCAUUGUUAUUCAAACAAAUACACAUUUAGUGACGAUUUAGGGCUGGCAAAAUUGUUGUUCCAAUAUUUUCGACACCGAUUAUAAUGAGGAAUGUAAGUUUUCAAGUAGUUUUCAGCGAAAACGGGGUCGAAUCGUUACAUCCGUGAACGUACCAUUAGUCACGUAAAUAGCUGUCAGAGAACGUUUAUCAUCGAGAAAGCA